rnacentral:rRNA from 1 species
UACGGAAGGUGCAAGCGUUAAUCGGAAUUAUUGGGCGUAAAGAGCUCGUAGGCGGUCUGUUGCGUCGGCUGUGAAAACCCGAGGCUCAACCUCGGGCCUGCAGUGGAUACGGGCAGACUAGAGUCAGGUAGGGGAGAACGGAAUUCCUGGUGUAGCGGUGAAAUGCGCAGAUAUCAGGAGGAACACCGGUGGCGAAGGCGGUUCUCUGGGCCUGUACUGACGCUGAGGAACGAAAGCGUGGGGAGCGAACAGG